rnacentral:snRNA from 1 species
UGUUUGAUAUCUCUUCUUGUC